rnacentral:rRNA from 1 species
GUCCACGCCCUAAACGAUGUCAACUAGUUGUUGGUAGAGUAAAUCUAUGAGUAACGCAGCUAACGCGUGAAGUUGACCGCCUGGGGAGUACGAUCGCAAGAUUAAACUCAAAUGAAUUGACGGGGCCCGCACAAGCGGUGGAUUAUGUGGAUUAAUUCGAUGCAACGCGAAAACCUUACCUGGCCUUGACAUGUACGGAACUUUCCAGAGAUGGAUUGGUGCCCGAAGGGACCGUAACACAGGUGCUGCAUGGCUGUCGU